GAUGAACGCUGGCGGCGUGCCUAAUACAUGCAAGUCGAGCGAACAGACGAGGAGCUUGCUCCUCUGACGUUAGCGGCGGACGGGUGAGUAACACGUGGAUAACCUACCUAUAAGACUGGGAUAACUUCGGGAAACCGGAGCUAAUACCGGAUAAUAUAUUGAACCGCAUGGUUCAAUAGUGAAAGACGGUUUUGCUGUCACGUAUAGAUGGAUCCGCGCCGCAUUAGCUGGUUGGUAAGGUAACGGCUUACCAAGGCGACGAUGCGUAGCCGACCUGAGAGGGUGAUCGGCCACACUGGAACUGAGACACGGUCCUGACUCCUACGGGAGGCAGCAGUAGGGAAUCUUCCGCAAUGGGCGAAAGCCUGACGGAGCAACGCCGCGUGAGUGAUGAAGGUCUUCGGAUCGUAAAACUCUGUUAUUAGUGAAGAACAAAUAUGUAAGUAACUAUGCACGUCUUGACGGUACCUAAUCAGAAAGCCACGGCUAACUACGUG
rnacentral:rRNA from 1 species